GAGGAAUAUUGGGCAAUGGAGGCAACUCUGACCCAGCCAUGCCGCGUGCAGGAAGACUGCCCUAUGGGUUGUAAACUGCUUUUAUACAGGAAGAAACACACCUACGUGUAGGUGCUUGACGGUACUGUAAGAAUAAGGACCGGCUAACUCCGUGCCAGCAGCCGCGGUAAUACGGAGGGKCCGAGCGUUAUCCGGAAUCAUUGGGUUUAAAGGGUCSGCAGGCGGUCAAUUAAGUCAGGGUUGAAAUCCCACUAGCUCAACUAUGGMACUGCCUUUGAUACUGGUUSACUUGAGUCAUAGUGGAAGUAGAUAGAAUGUGUGAGUGUAGCGGUGAAAUGCAUAGAUAUUACACAGAAUACCGAUUGCGAAGGCAG
rnacentral:rRNA from 1 species